UACGAAGGGGGCUAGCGUUGCUCGGAAUCACUGGGCGUAAAGGGUGCGUAGGCGGGUCUUUAAGUCAGGGGUGAAAUCCUGGAGCUCAACUCCAGAACUGCCUUUGAUACUGAAGAUCUUGAGUUCGGGAGAGGUGAGUGGAACUGCGAGUGUAGAGGUGAAAUUCGUAGAUAUUCGCAAGAACACCAGUGGCGAAGGCGAGUCCCUGGACGACUCCUGACACUGAGGCACGAAAGCUAGGGGAGCAAACAGG
rnacentral:rRNA from 1 species